AGUGAACGCUGGCGGUAGGCCUAACACAUGCAAGUCGAACGGCAGCACAGUAAGAGCUUGCUCUUACGGGUGGCGAGUGGCGGAUGGGUGAGGAAUACCUCGGAAUCUACUUUUUCGUGGGGGAUAACGUAGGGAAACUUACGCUAAUACCGCAUACGACCUACGGGUGAAAGCAGGGGAUCUUCGGACCUUGCGCGAUUGAAUGAGCCGAUGUCGGAUUAGCUAGUUGGCGGGGUAAAGGCCCACCAAGGCGACGAUCCGUAGCUGGUCUGAGAGGAUGAUCGGCCGCACUGGAACUGAGACACGGACCAGACUCCUACGGGAGGCAGCAGUGGGGAAUAUUGGACAAUGGGCGCAAGCCUGAUCCAGCCAUACCGCGUGGGUGAAGAAGGCCUUCGGGUUGUAAAGCCCUUUUGUUGGUAAAGAAAAGCAGCAGGUUAAUACCCCGCUGUUCUGACGGUACCCAAAGAAUAAGCACCGGCUAACUUCGUG
rnacentral:rRNA from 1 species